UUGAGCUCAACACCGAAUGUACGUACACUCAAAAAAAUCCACACGUCAAGGCUACGUGAAAAAUCACGUAGAUCGUUUGAAAAUAAACUUUUCUCUAAUUUACCGGACAACGGUAACAAUCACCCAGACGUAGAUAUACAUUGAAUGUUCUUUCAAUAAUUUUUACUGUUGGUGUCCAUCACUCUUACGUGAAAAAACACGUAGGCGUAAAUGAACUCAAAUGUUGACAGUUCAGUUUCUGUUUUGAACUGUCACCAGUGCAAAACGAGUAACAUCGUUGGAAGCAAACGCCAAGUCUCGACAUUACAAAAAAUGUUCACAAGAUUUUGGGCUGAGCAACGUACUUUCACCGCCAAUCGCAACUGGCUUAUCUCCAUUUAUCAGCGAACUCGAACUGACUCCGGUAAUGCGCAUCUGAUUGCAGAAAUAUUGCCGGUGUCCGGUGACCAAUACGCAUGACUAAGCAAGUUCUUGAAACUAGACCAAAUUUGCCGUCGAUUACUUCUGGUCGCAUCCAAUUUCAUCUAUUUUUCAUUAAGUUAUAAGCACAAACACUGUGUUAUAAGCAUUUGAAUUUUGCCUACGUUAAUAAUUUCCCCUGUAUUUAAUGUAAUCUUCCAUUCAGAUAUAUUUGGUGCUUUCGGUUUUCGCGAUUUUGCUGAUGAUUUAACUAGUGCUAGGAUUUCAAUUCAUACGUGAAUAGUGGAAAAAACUUCGAUUUUGAAUAAUGAAUAACCCUUUCGGACGCGUUUAGUGCGAUGGUUUUUGUUUGGUUCUAAUUAACUUUGUUAAUAUUUAUGCAUCUGCGUGAUCAUUUUUCGCGACAGUGCUUGUGUUUCGGACGACAGUACUACGCCACCCGGACGGAUGGUUCUGAUGAAUAGAAAUAAAAUUAUGUUUUUGUGAUUGUGUUAUGUGAUAACGUUAUAUUAAAUGUGUGAAAGUAAGAAUUAGAUAUGGUGGUGUUAAAACAUGUACGGAAUGUGGUCUAACAAUGACAAAUAAUAAUAUAUGCUUCACGCGGAGAAGGAAAUACUUAAUCGAUUGCUGAUGGGAUUUGAUGACAACGUCGAAUCGAAUGGAUUUUGGUGAGAUUGUUCUGAUCACAUAUGUAUCGAUAACUAAAUAUUAAAUACGCGCCAGUUUCAAAGAAAACAUCUUUGAAACAGGAAGUGUGUAUGUAUUAUCAUUAUCCAUUUGAUAACGGUUAUGCAUACAUGCGGGGCUUGUUGUUAGUGAAAGUGACUUCUGAAUGGACGUGUCUCUCCAGCCAUUCUGAAAUGGGUCAUUGGAUCUGCAAUAGAGCUAUCACCUUCUAACUCCCGGACUGAAGCUUUUUGCAAAAAUGUAGUAUCAAAGCAGUUUUGCAGAAAACUUUUUUCCAUAAUACCACUGCCGGACAGUGGGGGUUAGAUGGAUCACACACACACACACACACACACACACACACACACACACACACACACACAUCUUCCAUUCAGAUAUAUUUCGAAAUAAUAAUAAUAAAACAUUUUGGUACAAUGAAAGGAACCUAAUUAAAACAUUUCUUUUAUUCAUAGAUUCCGUAAAAUUGAUAGUAUAAUUGCUUAGAAUCCAAUAAAACGCUCCGUAAAAGGUACUCACAAAACACUUAGCUGCUACGUGGAAUUCCCGUGAAUCGAGAAAAGUUCAUCAGCUCGAGUGUUCAUUCUGUGCUACCUAUGAUUCACGUAAGUGCUACGUGGAAAGUGCGAUGGAAAAAAAAACUACGUGUUUUCACGUAGCCUUGACGUUUGGAUUAUUUUGAGUGUACAAUAUGCAGAUGUCAAAAUGAACUUAGACACCUACGUGAAUUUCACGUAAGUGCGAUAGGUAACCUCAGUAACAAUUAUCGAGUCACUGAUUGGUGGUUAGGAAUAGCUUAGUGAUCUUUAUCUUGGUCAGGUGAAGUGGAGGUAAAAUGAAUUUGGAAUGAUCUACGUGAUUUUUCACGUAGCAAUGACGUUUGGAUUAUUUUGAGUGUAUUUGACUUACUUCGCCAGGCAUUUGAUCCUAUAACAUUUCCCUGAAUACCAUUACCGCGAAAACCAUCACCCCGAAUGUCAUUACCCCGAAUGGUCAUGUACCCCGAAAUCCAUUACCCCGAAUAGCCCGUUACCCCGAAUACCAUUUCCCCGAAUGGACCAUAACUCCGAAUUUUCUUGGCACCAAAACUUAAUCUCACUUACAGGCGUGCACUUGAUUUUGUAAGGAUGUUUGUUUUCGCAGCAAUAGAUCAUUUUUCGAAUUGAUGAUAAUGUUGAUAUUGAUUUCGUUUUCACAUGUUAAUGUUAGAGACCUCUCCUGCCCUCCUUCAAAAACGUAGUAUUCUUUUAUGGUAAUGCAUAAUUUUAUUUUUAUAUUGUAAAUGGCAAUGCGAGUUCAACAUUUUUUCGAAUGGUACUAGACUACGGUUCGAAAAAUCUUAGAUGAAAAUGUUAACUGAUAGUAUACUAACACUAUUUAAAAAGUACAUAGCUAAU